AAAGUAUGAGGGAUUUUGGGUAUCUGGGUGUUGCAUUCUUCUGGCAUUAGUGGGAAAGCAACAGCAGAUAAGACCUACAAAGUGGAGCGAUGUGCAUCAAGAAUGAUGGUAAAUGAUGUUGGUACAUUGUAUUUGCAGGCAAAGGCAGCAGCGAUUGAUGGUAAAUAUUCUUCUAUUUGCAUUAAAUUAUUUAAGGGGCAGAAUGUUUCUAUGGUUUCCGUACUGAUUAAUUUUGUUUGUUUUGCACAGUUAUGCCGUAUAGGAUUUUUCAUUUCAGGAUAUUUCUGCCAUGUUCAGACACAUUUUAUAUAAGUGUCUACGAAAGUAAAUUGAAUGUAUUAGUAUUGUAUUUUGAGAGCAAAAAUGGUGGAGAAGCAUCUUGUCCUUGUAUUUUGGUUUCCUCAUAGAUUUAAUAUUUUUCUUUCUGGGUUUUAGAUUUGUAAAGCUGAAGACAAUUUUUUGAAAAUAAUGUUGGCUAGUCCCUAAGUUUCUAAAUCAUUUAAGAAGAGGGUGAAAAAUUAUAAUUGUGUUUCUCACCAUAUGUUCUAUUUCAGAAUGGCAGAGUACUUGUGCUUACUUUGACCUUGCUGCUGGAGUUCAUAUGACUGGUGCAUAUU